rnacentral:rRNA from 1 species
UAUACCGUAGCUUGCUACACCAUAGACUGUGAGUUGCGAACGGGUGAGUAACGCGUAGGUAACCUGCCUAUUAGAGGGGGAUAACUAUUGGAAACGAUAGCUAAUACCGCAUAACAGUAUGUAACACAUGUUAGAUGCUUGAAAGAUGCAAUUGCAUCGCUAGUAGAUGGACCUGCGUUGUAUUAGCUAGUAGGUGGGGUAAAGGCCUACCUAGGCAACGAUACAUAGCCGACCUGAGAGGGUGAUCGGCCACACUGGGACUGAGACACGGCCCAGACUCCUACGGGAGGCAGCAGUAGGGAAUCUUCGGCAAUGGGGGGAACCCUGACCGAGCAACGCCGCGUGAGUGAAGAAGGUUUUCGGAUCGUAAAGCUCUGUUGUUAAGGAAGAACGAGUGUGAGAAUGGAAAGUUCAUGCUGUGACG